AAAUGAGGAAUCCGACGUAAACUUCAAAGCCAUAAGCAUAAAUUAUGAAGGUGAACCAAAUGUUGCAGUACACAGUAAUGAAACUGGCCACCAACAAAAAGUGGAAAAGGAGCAAGUACGCAGACCAAGCGACUACGUUCGGCGGGAGGCAGCAUUACGGGUAAGGUACCUAGAGAAGAGAGAGAAGCUUAAGCUUGAAUUAGUCAAAACACAGUUGGAAGUUGAGCAAAUAAAAAAAAGAGCAGCCUUGUUGGAAGAGCAAAAAAACCAAGUAUUACUACAAAAGGCUAAAAUAGAUUUUGA